UACGUAGGGGGCAAGCGUUGUCCGGAUUUAUUGGGCGUAAAGAGCGUGUAGGCGGCUUUACAGGUCCGUUGUGAAAACUCGAGGCUCAACCUCGAGACGCCGGUGGAAACCGUAAGGCUAGAGUCCGGAAGAGGAGAGUGGAAUUCCUGGUGUAGCGGUGAAAUGCGCAGAUAUCAGGAGGAACACCGAUGGCGAAGGCAGCUCGCUGGGACGGUACUGACGCUGAGGCGCGAAAAGCGUGGGGGAGCAAACAGGG
rnacentral:rRNA from 1 species